rnacentral:lncRNA from 1 species
CUUUCUUCUCUCUCUCCAUGCUGGGCAGCCCAGCAAGCCACAGCUACCAGUCAGCCUGCAAUCACGAGGGAAAACAACACGCAGUCUGUGUUGCCAGCACUUUUGGGGUGUGUUCACCAGCCAGCUGAUGACAUUGCUUUGAUGUGUAAGAGCUGCUUCCUUCCAGAGAAGGGCUGGGCUACUCUGCCUAGGCUGUGCCCAGUGCUGUCCCCAGCCAUUAGCCAAGGCAACAAGUGAGGAUGAGGG